UACGUGGGGUGCAAGCGUUGUUCGGAAUUACUGGGCGUAAAGCGUGUGUAGGUGGCUCGUUAAGUCUGAUGUGAAAGCCCUGGGCUUAACUCAGGAAUUGCAUCGGAAACUAACAAGCUGGAGUCCGGGAGAGGGUAGUGGAAUUCCUGGUGUAGAGGUGAAAUUCGUAGAUAUCAGGAGGAACACCGGUGGCGAAGGCGGCUACCUGGACCGGUACUGACACUGAGACACGAAAGCGUGGGGAGCAAACAGG
rnacentral:rRNA from 1 species